AAUCCAUGCAUCAUACAUUUUCAAAGUAAUUCUUUAAAUCGUUCCCAAGCUUCAUAUAGUGUUUCAUCCUCCGAUUACCGAAAAGAUGUGAUAUCAUUUCUAAGCUU
rfam:Gossypium arboreum cultivar AKA8401 contig_25492_1, whole genome shotgun sequence.